CCUAGGGGAGGCAGCAGUGGGGAAUAUUGCACAAUGGGCGCAAGCCUGAUGCAGCCAUGCCGCGUGUAUGAAGAAGGCCUUCGGGUUGUAAAGUACUUUCAGCGGGGAGGAAGGCGUUGAGGUUAAUAACCUCAGCGAUUGACGUUACCCGCAGAAGAAGCACCGGCUAACUCCGUGCCAGCAGCCGCGGUAA
rnacentral:rRNA from 1 species